GUCAGCGUGGCAUAGUGGUUUGGCUGUGGGACUAUGACUCUAGAGACCAGGGUUCAAAUCCCCACUCAGCCA
rnacentral:tRNA from 1 species